rnacentral:rRNA from 1 species
UACGUAGGGGGCUAGCGUUGUUCGGAAUCACUGGGCGUAAAGCGCACGCAGGCGGAUUGAUAAGUCAGGGGUGAAAUCCCGGAGCUCAACUUCGGAAUUGCCUUUGAUACUGUCUAUCUUCGAGUUCGGGAGAGGUUGGCGGAAUUCCUAGUGUAGAGGUGAAAUUCGUAGAUAUCAGGAGGAACACCAAUUGCGAAGGCAGCUCGCUGGGACGUAACUGACGCUGAGACGCGAAAGCGUGGGGAGCAAACAGG